GCUUCGGUGGCAUACUGGUUAGAGCGUCCGCCUCGGAUGCGUGAGGUCGUGGGUUCUAUCCCGCGGUCGAGUCA